UACAUAUGGGGCAAGCGUUGUUCGGAAUUACUGGGCAUAAAGGGUGCGUAGGUGGUCUAUUAAGUCAGGGGUGAAAUCCCGCGGCCCAACCGUGGAACGGCCUUUGAUACUGGAUGGACUUGAGUGCGUGAGGGGUAGGGGGGAACGAGCAGUGUAGCGGUGAAAUGCGUAGAUAUUGCUCGGAAGGCCAGAGCCGAAGGGGCCCUACUGGUACGUAACUGACACUGAGGCACGAAAGCGUGGGGAGCAAACAGG
rnacentral:rRNA from 1 species